rfam:Triticum aestivum genome assembly, contig: Triticum_aestivum_CS42_TGACv1_scaffold_113985_2AS
CUUAUACUUCCUCCGUCCCAAAAUUCUUGUCUUAAAUUUGCCUAGAUACGGAUGUAUCUAAUACUAAAACGUGACUUGAUACAUCCAUAUUUAGACAAAUCUAAGACAAGAAUUUUGGGACGGAGGGAGUACAUG